GCGCGUCUACCAAAUGGCCUAUUGCAUUGAAUUGUACCUUGUACACUCAAAUCUAUUCUUGUGCGGUCUUUCUUAUGCGAUCUUUUUUGUGCGGUUUUUCUGCGGUCCCUACCGCAUAAAAGGACCGCACAAAAACAGGUUUGACUGUACCGUUAUUUUUAUACCUACCCAAGUUUGGGCGACGCGGAUACAGUCACAUAAGCCGCGUCGCUGUGUGAGGCUCCCUGCGCAUGCUUUGCCUGCCCCCCACUCCUUGCGUAAUAACUUUUCGUGACUACACUGGUCAGGGAGGCAUAGGCUUCGCGAAAUAUACAACUACAUAUGACCAUAACAUUACAUCUCACAUUUGAAUUUCCCUCUUAUCGCCAUUUGUCGUAAAAUAUAAUACGGUAGCACCCUCGUAAAUUAUACUUAUGGCCUAUGACGACGCCAUUAAUGAUUGUCAGCGAUUAUCAGUGAUUGUCAGUGAUUGUGAGUGAUCCUGAGCAUCUGAGCGAGCACAUCAAACAACCAAACACUGUUUUAUAAUGAGCGCAAGCGUGGAUCAACGGCAAUUUCAUAUCUGUGAUAGAAAAAAUAAAAUACGAAUUUUUUUGACGAUGACAAUUUUUAAAAAAUCGACUUAAUACAUUCUGGCUCUAAAAUCCAGAAAUUGAAUUACCUCAUCCAUCUAGACCGCGAUAUGGAAUUUUAGUUCGUAAAAAGUUUAUACGUACUAUAGAUGGCAGCCAAAACACCACUCCGAAAAUGAACCAGUUUGUUCCUCUCCUGACUUAACCUACAAAUGCUCAAGAAAAAGAAAACUAUAAAAAAUUAUUUGUAAAAGAUGUUAGUUAUAUUGACAUAAUAAAUAAUUAAUAUUUUAAUA